UGAGAUGUGAGGCGUCCGCUGAUCAGGGGUGCUUUAGGGAUUCCGAAGCGCCGCUCGCGCCGGCCGCCCUCUCGGCCGCUGCUCAAUUAAGUUCCAUCGUUUCCUAAGGCGUCGUCAAGCUGCUCCCCACUCCCGCCGCCCGCGCACGGCCUCUUCCUCCUGUUCCUUUGCUGCUGCCCCCUCCCCCCGCCUCGACCACCAAGACGCACUCCGCCGCUGCUUGGGCCCUCUGCGCUCAAGGACGACGAAGCUGCUGGGCUCCUUACUGGCUGAUUCAAUGACAGACCAAACGUUCCUACCUACCCUACCACGGCUGCCUCUUUAAACGUCCGUUCCAAAACGGAGGUCAUCAGCCGUUCCUAAAAGUUGUGGUCAAAGAAGCCGUAGGGACCUGACCGUCAUAAAUUCUACCUCCUGAUGUAUCUACUCGUGUGACCGCUCUUCGUUCCACGUUCUGUUAACCGUUCUUUGUUAAGUUCUUGGGUGUUGAAAAUACGUCAUAGUACCAACAUGUCCUCCGUUCCUGUCCCCUGGUCUAAACCCCGUUCUAAGUUCAGUCCAAAAGCGUUGUGAACCCAUGUCCUCCGUUGAUACGUUCAUCAUCUCGUACCCCAUGCAUGCACGUUUCCCCCCUCAAGGUGAUCGAGAUCAUCUUGACUUUUCUUAAACUUACCUGGACAAUAGAAAGAACAAAAAAUGGUCCUCUUUGAACGGGUCAAGACCGUUAAAAAAACGGGUGCAAAAGAAGUCUAACAACGGACUAGUUGUGUUUUUCAACGUCUGUUCCAACAAAAGAAGUGCUUAAAAGGUGCUAGAAAAACUGAAACUAAAAGUGU
rnacentral:rRNA from 1 species